GAGAGAGAGUAGAGCUGUACCGGUAAGACACUGUUACUCUACCUAGCUCAACACCAAACAUUUAAAAUGGGCUACUAAAAUGAUCCUGAUUAGAAGGCAAAUACAAGUAGCUGUCUCCUAUUGGCUGAGGUGAAUGUUCAGUCUCUUAUUGACUGAGGUGAAUGUUCAGUCUCUUAUUGACUGAGGUGAAUGUUCAGUCUCCUAUUGGCUGAGGUGAAUGUUCAGUCUCCUAUUGACUGAGGUGAAUGUCUCCUAUUGACUGAGGUGAAUGUUCAGUCUCUUAUUGACUGAGGUGAAUGUUUCCUAUUGACUGAGGUGAAUGUCUCCUAUUGACUGAGGUGAAUGUUCAGUCUCUUAUUGACUGAGGUGAAUGUCUCCUAUUGACUGAGGUGAAUGUUCAGUCUCUUAUUGACUGAGGUGAAUGUUCAGUCUCCUAUUGACUGAGGUGAAUGUCUCCUAUUGACUGAGGUGAAUGUUCAGUCUCUUAUUGACUGAGGUGAAUGUUCAGUCUCUUAUUGACUGAGGUGAAUGUUCAGUCUCCUAUUGGCUGAGGUGAAUGUUCAGUCUCCUAUUGACUGAGGUGAAUGUCUCCUAUUGACUGAGGUGAAUGUUCAGUCUCUUAUUGACUGAGGUGAAUGUCUCCUAUUGACUGAGGUGAAUGUUCAGUCUCCUAUUGGCUGAGGUGAAUGUUCAGUCUCCUAUUGACUGAGGUGAAUGUUCAGUCUCUUAUUGACUGAGGUGAAUGUCUCCUAUUGGCUGAGGUGAAUGUUCAGUCUCUUAUUGACUGAGGUGAAUGUUCAGUCUCUUAUUGACUGAGGUGAAUGUCUCCUAUUGACUGAGGUGAAUGUUCAGUCUCUUAUUGACUGAGGUGAAUGUUCAGUCUCCUAUUGACUGAGGUGAAUGUUCAGUCUCUUAUUGACUGAGGUGAAUGUUAAGUCUCCUAUUUACUGAGGUGAAUGUUCAGUCUCUUAUUGACUGAGGUGAAUGUCUCCUAUUGACUGAGGUGAAUGUUCAGUCUAUUAUUGACUGAGGUGAAUGUCCAGUCUCUUAUUGACUGAGGUGAAU
rnacentral:lncRNA from 1 species